GAUAUUUAUAGGACCAGAGCGUAGAGGUCAAAUUUAGUGAUAACCAACGCCCAAGGAGUACGAGCACACGUGUUUUUCGAACGAGUUCACGUGUUGCCUCGCACGAUGGCUUAUUUCGAUAGAUUUAUGAUUUCAGUGUUGAACAUUUGCUUGUCCGCAAUGAAGGGUGCAGGUUGCACGAUGGUGCUCGUGCUGUUUUUGGCUCAUGCAGCACUUGGUGCAGGUGACUGCAUAGGGGAUAUUAUUCCUGGAUAUCAAGAAGCCGAACCUGUUUUACAUUCGGUCAUACACAAAUUACUUCAGUGAUAUGAAGCAUGUAGGAGGAAAAUACCUGGUCGAGAACGGAACAAUCGUAGUCGUGGCGUGCCCAGGAAGCGAAAGUAUGAUUAAUGCAACAGACCCGAGGAGGAACGUGGGUUGAUUCUGGGUUUUAUGCACAUUUUCGUGAUCUAGGCGAACUAGUCACAAUAAGACACAAUGCCCUUGGCAGCUGCUAUAACAAAGAACAAAGUCCGUACUCUACUCUAAACACAUUUGGUCUUCCGGAGCAUCUCUUGGCAGAUCCAAAAGCUCUUGGGACUCGAUUUUCGGGGACUGUAUGCGGAUCAACCGGUACCUAAAAUAUUGGCCAAAGGACAUCUGCCUCCUGAUGCUGACUUCCAAAAUUUGUUUCUUAAAAAGCUGACGUAUUAAUAUUACCAUAAUUCAGCACCGGAAUGGAGAGCCAUCAACUCUGGCAUUUGGAAAGCAUUGGAGCAACUCAUACGGACAACACAUAAACUCGCCAUAAUUUACACAGGAACGAGCGAUGGCCAAGAGAAAUUCGCGUCAAGACAACCUGAUUAUUUCGAUUAUCAGAACCAACUUGUCCGGAUUCCUGAUUUCUUUUGGAAGCUCGUCUUUCCCAUUGAUUCCAAUGAAAACUUUAGUACUCCUUUUGGUUACGUCGCUUGCAAUAAGGAUAGAGUUCGCAACCCAAGUGUAAUGGAAAUUUUGAAAAAUUACCCGUGCCCCAAAGGUUAACUUGAAGGAAGCUAUUGUUUCAACGGAGAUGGUGUAUAUAUCAUUGCGAACAUAUUUCCAGAGGCAUCGUUGCUUUUGAAUCCAGAAGUUUAUAAAUAGGGCUGCGAAUUUUAGACGAUUUUACUAUUUUUUUCUAAGCUUCAGAUCGUAGUGGGACUAUCAAAUGAGCACGAAUCAUGCAUUUUUAAGCUAUUUGAACCACACUUAAAAUCGGCUAAAACCAUCUAAAUAUGCCAAAACCAAAUAAAACCGUUUAAAAUCGUCUAAAACCGUCUAAAUAGUUAAGUUAGACAUGCAAAUUUUUCCAAAAACAUAACUUUCUUAUGCCGUGAAAAAUAUUUAUCCCAAAAUUUGAGCUCUGAUGGGUGAAACGACACCAAACUUGACAAUUUUGGGAAUUUUUUCGCAUUCUGACCCUAAGGGCCAUGUUAGGGUAAGAACCUGAGGGUCGGAAUCAACCUUUGGUGGUUCAAUUUCGAUCCCCACAACGCGUUGAAGUAAACAGGACAUGUAAAAAUCGAUUUUUUAAAUGACGGGCACAUUUUCUAAUUAAAGGUCAUGCUCGGGAGAACGGAUUCGAGCCGCGGUUUCAAAAAUUCAAACUUUGACUGUCAUUUUAAAAUUUUGUUUACUUGCACACAAUUUCACGGGUUACAAUUUGACUAUGUAGCUAUUAAAAAAAUUGAACCCUGAAAAAUUGAUUUCUCGGAAAAGGUCGCUUCGCAAAAUGUGAUCUUGAAUUUUGACCUACAUUUCCAAGGUAGGCAAUGUGGUUCAGGGUGAAAAACUAGGUCGGGUAGUGAAAGUUUCAGGAUGAUAUCUCAAAAUGCAAUCAAUAUAUGUAUAUAUAUCAGUGAUUAUCUAUUUCAGUUAAUCGUAAAUCUAGAUUUAUAUGUAAGUUGCCUCUGAAAAAUACAUUACAAUAAAUAAGCUAAACGUGAAUUUGUGUGAAAUAUAUAAUAAUAAAACGCGAAGGAAACAAUGAAAAAUAAAACCGUCUAAAUUGACAAAAACCAUCUAAAACCGACUAAUUUGCUCUUAGAAACAGUCUAAAAAUAGUCGACUAUUUUGGCAAAAAUCGUCUAAAAUUCACAGCCCUAUUUAUAAAACACAAAUCGAGUCCAAUUCAAUUCAAUUAAUUUAUUUGUCUUUUAGCAUGGUAAUACAUUCAGGUGAUGAUCUUCUCACAAUAUAUUCCAUCUAAUUGCAAAUUACAAACACAAUAUAUACAACAAUAUCAUGAGUUUAUCAUCAUUUAUAAAAUCUGUUGAACACAACUUGUGUUUGAAAUAAAUUGAAUUGACAAUACCAUGAGUUUUUGAUAAAAGAGAAAUUCUCUUGGGAAGAGUAAAAUUAGUGUUUACAAAGUAAAUCUUUCAAAGCCGUGGAAAAUUGUUUGACUCAACGUUAUCUAUACAUUAUAUCAUUUGUUUAAAUAAAACGCAAACGUUGCUUUUGACAAUAUUUCACACGUCGUAACAUUUUAUUUUAAAUUGCAUUUCCGUGUGCUCUAAUUUACAAAUAAUGUUGUAAAUAAAAAGCUUACUUUAAAAUUUG